rnacentral:rRNA from 1 species
UACGGAGGGUGCGAGCGUUAUCCGGAUUCACUGGGUUUAAAGGGUGCGUAGGCGGCCCUGUAAGUAUGGUGUGAAAUCUCCCGGCUUAACUGGGAGGGUGCGCUAUAGACUGCGGGGCUCGAGUGUGGGAGAGGAAAGUGGAAUUCCUGGUGUAGCGGUGAAAUGCGUAGAUAUCAGGAGGAACACCGGUGGUGUAAACGGCUUUCUGGACCAUAACUGACGCUGAGGCACGAAAGCGUGGGUAGCAAACAGG